rnacentral:rRNA from 1 species
UACGUAGGUCCCGAGCGUUGUCCGGAUUUAUUGGGCGUAAAGCGAGCGCAGGUGGUUUAUUAAGUCUGGUGUAAAAGGCAGUGGCUCAACCAUUGUAUGCAUUGGAAACUGGUAGACUUGAGUGCAGGAGAGGAGAGUGGAAUUCCAUGUGUAGCGGUGAAAUGCGUAGAUAUAUGGAGGAACACCGGUGGCGAAAGCGGCUCUCUGGCCUGUAACUGACACUGAGGCUCGAAAGCGUGAGGAGCAAACAGG